rnacentral:rRNA from 1 species
GAUGAACGCUGGCGGCGUGCCUAAUACAUGCAAGUCGAGCGAACAGACGAGAAGCUUGCUUCUCUGAUGUUAGCGGCGGACGGGUGAGUAACACGUGGAUAACCUACCUAUAAGACUGCGAUAACUUCGGGAAACCGGAGCUAAUACCGGAUGAUAUUUUGAACCGCAUGGUUCAAAAGUGAAAGACGGUCUUGCUGUCACUUAUAGAUGGAUCCGCGCUGCAUUAGCUAGUUGGUAAGGUAACGGCUUACCAAGGCAACGAUGCAUAGCCGACCUGAGAGGGUGAUCGGCCACACUGGAACUGAGACACGGUCCAGACUCCUACGGGAGGCAGCAGUAGGGAAUCUUCCGCAAUGGGCGAAAGCCUGACGGAGCAACGCCGCGUGAGUGAUGAAGGUCUUCGGAUCGUAAAACUCUGUUAUUAGGGAAGAACAUAUGUGUAAGUAACUGUGCACGUCUUGACGGUACCUAAUCAGAAAGCCACGGCUAACUACGUG